rnacentral:rRNA from 1 species
CCUACGUGUGGCUGCAGUGAGGAAUAUUGGUCAAUGGACGAGCGUCUGAACCAGCCAAGUAGCGUGAAUGAUGACUGCCCUAUGGGUUGUAAACUUCUUUUAUAUGGGAAUAAAAUGUUCCAAGUGUGGGAUUUUGUAUGUACCAUAUCAAUAAGGAUCGGCUAACUCCGUGCCAGCAGCCGCGGUAAUACGGAGGAUGCGAUCGUUAUCCGGUUUUAUUGGGUUUAAGGGGUGCGUAGGCGGAGCGUAAAGUCAGUGGUCAAAUGGAGGGGCUCAACCCCUUCCCGCCAUUGAAACUGGCGCUCUUGAGGGGAAGAGAGGUAAGCGGAAUGCGUGGUGUAGCGGUGAAAUGCAUAGAUAUCACGCGGAACCCCGAUUGCGAAGGCAGCAUGCCGGCUUCCGACUGACGCGGAAGCACGAAAGCGUGGGGAUCGAACAGGAUUAGAUACCCCUGUAGUC